UUGAAGACUUGCAGAGCUAUUAGACUGCAAUUGGUGCGCACCUAUAUGAAGUCUCAUAGAGAAAGAGGAGUGAAUCCAUAAAAUCUAGAGAGUGCAUCUCUUCACGAUCAAGAGGUAUUUUUUUUUUCAAUUUUGCUUUUUUUUAUACGACUCCAAUGUUUAUUCUUGCCUAGGAUAUUUCUCCAUUGAAGACUUUCAAAGCUAUUAGAUGGUGAUUGGUGUGCACCUAUAUGAAGUCUCAUAGAGAAAGGAAACUUCAUGCUCAUAUACCAAGGGAACAUGUUGGGUCGUUGAGAUAUACUCCCCAUUGGAUAAGAUCAUUGCAUGGAAGCUUUCUUAACUUAUUGAUUUUCUAAUUUUUAUUUGUUUAUAGGGACAAUCAAUUGAAAGCUACAGUGUGGGAUCAACAUAUACCAAGGCCAAGAGUUGAAACUUUUUUUUUUUUUUUUUAUAUUCUGGCCUUGCAAAUCCUA